UCUCCGUUGGUGAACCAGCGGAGGGAUCAUUACCGAGUUUACAACUCCCAAACCCAAUGUGAACGUUACCAAACUGUUGCCUCGGCGGGAUCUCUGCCCCGGGUGCGUCGCAGCCCCGGACCAAGGCGCCCGCCGGAGGACCAACCAAAACUCUUAUUGUAUACCCCCUCGCGGGUUUUUUUAUAAUCUGAGCCUUCUCGGCGCCUCUCGUAGGCGUUUCGAAAAUGAAUCAAAACUUUCAACAACGGAUCUCUUGGUUCUGGCAUCGAUGAAGAACGCAGCGAAAUGCGAUAAGUAAUGUGAAUUGCAGAAUUCAGUGAAUCAUCGAAUCUUUGAACGCACAUUGCGCCCGCCAGUAUUCUGGCGGGCAUGCCUGUCCGAGCGUCAUUUCAACCCUCGAACCCCUCCGGGGGGUCGGCGUUGGGGAUCGGCCCUCCCUUAGCGGGGUGGCCGUCUCCGAAAUACAGUGGCGGUCUCGCCGCAGCCUCUCCUGCGCAGUAGUUUGCACACUCGCAUCGGGAGCGCGGCGCGUCCACAGCCGUUAAACACCCAACUUCUGAAAUGUUGACCUCGGAUCAGGUAGGAAUACCCGCUGAACUUAAGCAUAUCAAUAAGCGG
rnacentral:rRNA from 1 species